rnacentral:RNase_P_RNA from 2 species
CCAGAGGGCCGGGCGGCCGCGGCGUGGCGGGUAACUUCCACGGCGAGGAAAGUCCGGGCUUCACGAAAUGACGGUGCCGGCUAACGGCCGGCUGGAGCGAUCCAAGGGACAGUGCAACAGAAAGCAGGUCGCGACGGCCUAGGCCACGCGAAAUUGAAAGGGUGCGGUAAGAGCGCACCGCGUCUGCGGCAACGCAAGGCGGCACGGUAAACCCCACCGGAAGCAAGACCGAAUAGGGGCGGCGCGCAGCUCGACUGCUAGGCCUGUUUCGGCUGAGACCGCCCGGGUUGGUUGCUGGAGGAACGGAGCAAUCCGUUCCCUAGAGGAAUGGCCGCCUAUCCCCGCCCAUCUUCGGGUUGGCGGGGUGGACAGAACCCGGCUUACAGGCCCUCUGGCAUU